UACGUAGGCAGCGAGCGUUGUUCGGAGUUACUGGGCGUAAAGAGUGCGUAGGCGGUUUUCUAAGUUUGGUGUGAAAUCUCCCGGCUUAACUGGGAGGGUGCGCCGAAAACUGGAAGGCUUGAGUAUGGGAGAGGUAAGCGGAAUUCCUGGUGUAGCGGUGAAAUGCGUAGAUAUCGGGAGGAACACUGUGGCGAAAGCGGCUCACUGGACCACAACUGACGCUGAGGCGCGAAAGCUAGGGGAGCAAACAGGAU
rnacentral:rRNA from 1 species